GAGUAGCAAUAUUUGUCUUCUAGUGGCGAACGGGUGCGUAACGCGUGGGUGACCUGCCCCGAAGCGGGGGAUACCAGCUCGAAAGGGCUGCUAAUCCCCCAUAAGUCCCUGGAGGUUAGAGGCUCCGGGGGGAAAGGCGCAAGCCGCUUUGGGAGGGACCUGCGUCCCAUCAGCUCGUUGGUAGGGUAACGGCCUACCAAGGCGACGACGGGUAGGGGGCCUGAGAGGGUGGCCCCCCACACUGGCACUGAAAUACGGGCCAGACACCUACGGGUGGCAGCAGUAGGGAAUAUUGCACAAUGGGCGCAAGCCUGAUGAAGCAACGCCGCGUGCGCGAUGAAGGCCUUCGGGUCGUAAAGCGCUUUUCGGGGAGAGGAGGAAGGACCGUAUCCCCGGAAUAAGUCUCGGCUAACUACGUGCCAGCAGCCGCGGUAAAACGUAGGAGGCAAGCGUUAUCCGAAUUUACUGGGCGUAGAGCGUGUGCAGGUGGCUGGGUAAGUUGGAUGUGAAAUCUCCUGGCUCAACUGGGAGAGGUCGUUCAAAACUGCCGAGCUAGAGGGCGGUAGAGGGAGGUGGAAUUCCGGGUGUAGUGGUGAAAUGCGUAGAUAUCCGGAGGAACACCUGUGGCGAAAGCGGCCUCCUGGACCGUACCUGACGCUAAGACACGAAAGCUAGGGGAGCGAACGGGAUUAGAAACCCCGGUAGUCCUAGCUGUAAACGAUGUGGACUGGGUGUCGGUGGGGUAAAAGCCAUCGGUGCCGAAGCUAACGCGUUAAGUCCACCGCCUGG
rnacentral:rRNA from 1 species